CUGAACAUACAUGCUCUCAUAUCCGUUUCAGGGGUUCUGUCAUGAAGUUUCUCUUCUCUGAUCUGCUGUUCAAAAUAGCAGCCGUUCUUUCACAUGACCUACUUAAAGUCUGACACAACAAUGCAGUGUGCUCAAAGAGGACAGUAUGUUAUCUCUGUUGGCACUAACAUAUAUCAAAAUGUCACUCUUGAGUAUGUGGUGUCACCUUCUGGAAAAUUGCAUGGAGACCAAGCAUCCUGGAGAUUGUCUAUCAAAACUACCUGGUGUGGAAACAGUUGUUGCUUGUGUUCUAUUGGAGAUGCCCUGACUGAGAGGGGAAUUCUCUGAAACUGGAGGUCCUACAGGAACCUGGAGAGGCCCAUCAGAGUUUCCAAGACCCUGACUCUGCCCCUGGAAGUGACAGCUUGAAUCUGCACAAACUGUGUGAAGUAAGAAAAGAAAAACCAAAGCAUGAGAGAUGUGCAUUGCUGUCAAGUCCCCACAGCUGCCAUGGAAACGCAAUGUGCGGCAUUCCAUCACCCCUUGCAUUCAAAAUGCUACUGAUGCAUAGCACCUAAACAAGUUCCCAAGGCUGCAGUUUCACUCCUAUGGAAACUACGUCACCUCCAUUGCUACUGUAUUGUCCGCUAUAUUGUUCAGUGCUGGCUUCUCCGUUUCAUGGUUUUCCCUGUUGAGAGAAUAUGAGAUAAAUAAAUUAACAAGACUGGGAGAAGACAGCAAAAACUAUUCCUCAGACAACUGCUUAUCACUACAGGAGAGCUGUUAAAACACAGCAAAGGCAUUAAACUGAAAAGCAAAGAGACUAUGAAAUACACUCAUACUUCCAGAUUUACGGUGUCUUUAACUCCCAGCAAUGACUACUCUGUAAAAUCUCCCCACAAAGCAUCAUGUCAUAGUGGAACCAAAAAAAAAAAAAGUUCUAAGCAUCAAAGUUUGUGAUGAAGUAAUAAAAAAAUUGUGCAAUAAAAAGCUGCUGCUGAAGUCAUCAGCUACAAAAUCUGGAA